rnacentral:rRNA from 1 species
CCUGGUCUUCCACGCCGUAAACGAUGAGUGCUACCUGUUGGGUGGUUUACCAUUCAGUGGCGCAACUAACGCAUUAAGCACUCCGCCUGGGGAGUACGGUCACAAGAUUAAAACUCAAAAGAAUUGACGGGGGCCCGCACAAGCGGUGGAUCAUGUGGUUUAAUUCGAUGCAACGCGCAGAACCUUACCAGCCCAUGACAUGUAUAGGACGAUAACAUAGAUGGUAUUUUCUUUUCGGAGACAUUUACUCAGGUGCUGCAUGGCUGUCGUCAGCUCGUGUCGUGAGAUGUUGGGUUAAGUCCCGCAGCGAGCGCCACCCCUGCCUCUAGUUGCCAUCAAGUUUAGGUUUUUACCUAUAUGUUGGGUACUUUAUAGGGACUGCCGGUGAUAAUCCGGAGGAAGGUGGGGAUGACGUCAAGUCCUCAUGGCCCUUAUGGGCUGGGCUACACACGUGCUACAAUGGUGGUUACAAUGGGUUGCGAAGUCGCGAGGCGGAGCUAAUCCCCAAAACCCAUCUCACUUCGGAUUGCCA